UCCGGCAUGGGUCAGCUACCUUCGAAUUCAUGCCGGACUCCAAUCUUGACAACGGGUUACGAGCGGUGGGAUUGAGCCCCCAAUCCUGACAGUACAUGCAUGUUGCUGCAAUAAUAAGUUUGCGAGAAUGUAUAAUAAUCCAGUGUCGUUUGCUGUUCUGCCUUACCUUUUUUGGAUCUUUCAUUCCUGCCUUAAUGCAGCCAUUGCAAUAGUCAUAUCGUGUACAUUAGUGAUUUUAGCUUUGAAACCUUUUUUUUUUUUUUUCCCCUCCAGACAUGAUGGAUGUCUCUUAUGGGGGCUGGGACUUAAAGAUGCUUCACUGCGGGCAUCCUACCCAAUAUCUUCAAGCCAUUUGUGUGGAAACUUUAGCACUCAAGGCCACUGGCAGAAAAGGAGGCUUGGACCUGCAUGUCUACAGUAUCAUUGAAGAAGCCAUUUGAAGCUGCUACAUGUGGGAAAAUGCAACGAUUCGUGCCAUUUGCCAAGCAGCAGUUGCCUGAAGAAUUGCAGUAUGCAAGUGGAUUCUUCAAAAGCCACUGGGCCUGCCACCAGCUGACAUGCUUUUCUUCAUCCUCCUUAGUCCUGUACCUUAGCCUUGUUGGGAUGCGGAGGUUGGGUCAGUUUUUCUAGACAUGUCAGUCAUUACCUGUAUAUAAAUUUAGUCUCAAUCAAUGCAAGGCAAGCAGAUGUUCAUAAUUUGCACAAAUAAAAAUUUGUGUUUUGCUGA